CCGGCUGCGCAUGUGAAGCUCGGGUGCUCGGCGACCCGUCUCUUUUGGAUGUAGCCCGUUUUUGGGGCUCCCGGCGUUGCCCUGUGUCCUGUCUGCAUUUCGAUACGGCACCGCUCCACUACUGGACUACAGCAAGGUGCCAGGAUGUGUUUGGGCGACACCAGGGUGGCGCCGCAGAAGUAGCGCUUGGAGCUCCCCACUUUCUUCGCCAAGGUUGCCUGCGAAGAAGGGUGAGGAGAGAAUGAGGCCACCUCGUGAAGACACUCUCAACGCUGAGGCCAUUGGAAAGUUCUCAAAGUGAAAGUUUCUGAAUCUGUCUCAGAAUUGCCGAAAGCCAGCGCUUUCCCGGUCUGUUUUCGCUGCCCUAUGCCAACGUCUCUUGCUGCUUGGAACUUUCUUGAAUCUGUCACUUUAAAAGAAGCACAUUUCACUAUACGUUCUGUCGAUGAAGUACCGGCCGCGCUGCAUGAUGCAACCGAAGCGUUCGCGCCCCGGGAGUGGAUUCACGAGACAGCGAAAAGCAAUCACUCCACCUGUCCAGAACCCCUAACCUUGCUCUCUCAGCAACGUUCAACGGAAUCAGCAAAUCGAUGCACCUGUUCGUCGUUUCAUGCCUGCUGUCGUAAAUUUGGUGUACGGUCCUGUGUGAUUCAACAAAAAAAUUGUCCCGCCUGCCAUCAUACGGAGAACUUACCAGAUUUUGUUUUUCGAUAAAAAUAUGCUUUUCAA